rnacentral:misc_RNA from 1 species
UGGUUCUGGCAUCGAUGAAGAACGCAGCGAAAUGCGAUAAGUAAUGUGAAUUGCAGAAUUCAGUGAAUCAUCGAAUCUUUGAACGCACAUUGCGCCCCGUGGUAUUCCGCGGGGCAUGCCUGUUCGAGCGUCAUUAUCAACCCAAUCACGCACGGCGUGGUCUUGGGGCUGGCAGCUCUGCCGCCCCUAAAGACAGUGGCAGCGCCGUAGGGCUCUUAGCGUAGUAAUACUUCUCGCUAUAGGGUCUUGCGGCCGCCCGCCAGCAACCCCAUCUUUCUCGGUUGACCUCGGAUCAGGUAGGGAUACCCGCUGA